rnacentral:rRNA from 1 species
UACGUAGGGGGCAAGCGUUGUCCGGAUUUAUUGGGCGUAAAGAGCGUGUAGGCGGCCUGACAAGUCUGCUGUGAAAACUCGAGGCUCAACCUCGAGAUGUCGGCGGAAACUGUCUGGCUAGAGUCCGGAAGAGGAGAGUGGAAUUCCUGGUGUAGCGGUGAAAUGCGCAGAUAUCGGGAAGAACACCCGUGGCGAAGGCGGUUCUCUGGGACGGUACUGACGCUGAGACGCGAAAGCGUGGGGAGCGAACAGG